rnacentral:rRNA from 1 species
CACAUGCAAGUCGAGCGAAGCACUUGGCCAUUGACUCUUCGGAAGAUUUGGCAUUUGACUGAGCGGCGGACGGGUGAGUAACGCGUGGGUAACCUGCCUCAUACAGGGGAAUAACAGUUAGAAAUGGCUGCUAAUGCCGCAUAAGCGCACAGGACCGCAUGGUCUGGUGUGAAAAACUGAGGUGGUAUGAGAUGGGCCCGCGUCUGAUUAGGUAGUUGGCGGGGUAACGGCCCACCAAGCCGACGAUCAGUAGCCGACCUGAGAGGGUGACCGGCCACAUUGGGACUGAGACACGGCCCAGACUCCUACGGGAGGCAGCAGUGGGGAAUAUUGCACAAUGGAGGAAACUCUGAUGCAGCGACGCCGCGUGAAGGAAGAAGUAUCUCGGUAUGUAAACUUCUAUCAGCAGGGAAGAAAAUGACGGUACCUGACUAAGAAGCCCCGGCUAACUACGUACCAGCAGCCGCGGUAAUACGUAGGGGGCAAGCGUUAUCCGGAUUUACUGGGUGUAAAGGGAGCGUAGACGGACGGGCAAGUCUGAUGUGAAAGCCCGGGGCUUAACCCCGGGACUGCAUUGGAAACUGUCCAUCUUGAGUGCCGGAGAGGUAAGCGGAAUUCCUAGUGUAGCGGUGAAAUGCGUAGAUAUUAGGAGGAACACCAGUGGCGAAGGCGGCUUAC